UCCAUCCGUUGGGGCGGCUUCAAAACCAGGGAACAGUGUUUUCUUUGGAUUGCCAGUCGCGGAGAGAACAGAGUCGAGUUCAGUCGGCGAAGCAGCCGGACGUGCUGCCGAUCCAGCUCCACUCGAACAAGUCGUUCCAAGGCGACAACCGGAAACAAUUUCCGACCAAAGUGAUAUUUUCUUAACUGACCUUUUGGCCUCCUCACGGGAGCCUUGUUCAGGAGAGUCAUGUCACUCGAUGUACAGCCAGGGACUUCUACCAUGUCAAGCACGCGCUCCGAAGAUUGGUCCAGUAGUUGGACUUCCGACCCUCAAAGUCGAACGAACACGACUACCGGCACCAUGACCAGCAGCGCUUCUGCUGUCCCGUCUGGCCUACCGUCCGGUAUCACACCGUCCGCUAUCACGCCGCCCGGUAUCACGCCGUCCGGCAUCACGCCACCCGGCAUUCCUCCACGCGCUCCACAGAACGUAAGGUUCUCGGGCACCGCGCAUAAGUCCCAGCCCAGGCCCCUCACGGAUACAGCAAAGACCUCGGAUUUGAAAACCCUCUCCGAGCCAAGAAGAAGGGAAGGCGCACUGUUGCCAUUCCUCGGGUGCAUCUUGGUCAUCCUGCUUUUGCUCGUUAUUCUCUCCCUCAUUCUGUCGG